rnacentral:rRNA from 1 species
AUUGAACGCUGGCGGCAGGCUUAACACAUGCAAGUCGAGCGGGGUGAUGGUGCUUGCACUAUCACUUAGCGGCAGACGGGUGAGUAAUGCUUAGGAAUCUGCCUAUUAGUGGGGGACAACAUCUCGAAAGGGAUGCUAAUACCGCAUACGUCCUACGGGAGAAAUCAGGGGAUCACUUGUGACCUUGCGCUAAUCGAUGAGCCUAAGUCGGAUUAGCUAGUUGGUGGGGUAAAGGCCUACCAAGGCGACGAUCUGUAGCGGGUCUGAGAGGAUGAUCCGCCACACUGGGACUGAGACACGGCCCAGACUCCUACGGGAGGCAGCAGUGGGGAAUAUUGGGCAAUGGGGGGAACCCUGAUCCAGCCAUGCCGCGUGUGUGAAGAAGGCCUUAUGGUUGUAAAGCACUUUAAGCGAGGAGGAGGCUCUUUUGGUUAAUACCCAAGAUGAGUGGACGUUACUCGCAGAAUAAGCACCGGCUAACCCUGUGCCAGCCGCCGCCGUAA